rnacentral:rRNA from 1 species
AACGAACGCUGGCGGCAGGCUUAACACAUGCAAGUCGAACGGGUGUCGCAAGACAUCAGUGGCAGACGGGUGAGUAACACGUGGGAACCUUCCUAGGGGUACGGAACAACUCAGGGAAACUUGAGCUAAUACCGUAUACGUCCGUAAGGAGAAAGAUUCAUCGCCCCUAGACGGGCCCGCGUCGGAUUAGGUAGUUGGUGGGGUAACGGCCUACCAAGCCUACGAUCCGUAGCUGAUCUGAGAGGANGAUCAGCCACACUGGGACUGAGACACGGCCCAGACUCCUACGGGAGGCAGCAGUGGGGAAUCUUGGACAAUGGGCGGCAAGCCUGAUCCAGCCAUGCCGCGUGAGUGAAGAAGGCCUUAGGGUUGUAAAGCUCUUUUACCAGGGACGAUAAUGACGGUACCUGGAGAAUAAGCCCCGGCAAACUUCGUGCCAGCCGCCGCAGUAAC